GCCAACCUCGCGGCGGGCAACAAAAUCUCCACACCCGCUCGCCCUGCAGGCUUCUAGAAACCCUCCCAGGUACACCUGUGCUCGCACUUCCUGCUUCCAAGUAGCUGGUAAUUGUAGUUACCGUGCACGGACGUUUAGAAGCUAAACAUUAACUUUGUGCAUCUGUACAAGCCGGAGAAGCCAGCAGAUUGUCAGACUGGACUCUCAGGAUCCAAUCCAUUCUGCUCUCUUAGGGGAGAAGUUCCCAUCCCGGACCCCGAGACAAGGCUCCGCGCGGUGGGCGAGGGGCAGACGCCCGCAGCCCUCCCUGCAGGCUCCGGGCGCGGCUGCUCUGUCGGGAGUCGGCCGCAUCCCGCCCGGUGCACGGUGGUCGGCGGGUCCCGGACAUCUCCCAGCAGCCGCUUCCCAAGACUCACCCCAGUCCGGCUCCCAGCGCGGGCGCCUGCGACACAGGAAUGAGAGGAAGAUCACGCAGAUCUAAAGGAAGCACAGCGUGCCGGGCAGAAAUGAACACGAUUGGGGCUUUUGAAUCAAGCAUUUUUAUGGAAGGUCAGUGCCUUGAUGGAAAAACAGUUCGUAUUUGGACUCACUGCUUCCCUACGGGCCUUCAUUCAUAUCAGCAUCACAGCACAUCAGUUCCAGCAAACAGUAAGAACAAGGAAGACACAAGAUUCAGCCAAAACUCCUUUUUAACUUGGCUAUCUUUUAGAGCAAAGAAUAGUCAUUUAUGAGUCAUAACUCUGAAAUUCUGGGCCAACUAACUAACAAAAUAUUUUAGGAAACAGUACACUCACCUUGCUGUUAAACUGAGCUUUUCAGCCAGGAUGACUCCCAAUUAUGGAGGAAGACUCUGGAAGGAGAAGAUGAUGGCACUUGGGCCUGAUGGGUUUUAUCCUUGAACCUGGAACGGCAUGGUCCCUAGCUCUGACUCAAACAGGGAACUGAGCCUUUCUGAAGAGACUGGCAUCCAGCUGACAUCAAUUUACUAUAUAUAGCACCAAAUACUUUAGCUACUCAUAUCUUCCUGGCAAAAGGGAGGAACAGGGAAAGAUUAGGCUCUCCCUAUUGUGUUUCUGGUUUCUGAGAUAGUUGAAUGAAAUACUCAUUCAUUGGCCAUGAAUGAGCCAAAAUGGAUUUUAAAACUUCUAAAGAUGUAGUUCUUAUUCUAUAUCUUAAUUGAGGUAACAGGAUGCAUGUAUUAAUUGGAACAGAAUGACAGAUUAGUCUUAAUCAAAAUGAACAGUAUGGCCAAUAAUAUCUAUGGGGACUCAGGAAGCACAAAAGCAGUGAUGAGUGGAUCAAUAGAGCCAUUCCCAAAGCAAAGGCAAGAAUUACUCUAUCUUAUAAAAGCACAUAAUAUUUGAAUAGGAAAGUGGGGGAAGAUGUUGAAAUGGGCCAUCAUAGGUUGAACCAGGAAGCUGAGUAAAAACUUAGACCCCUCAAUGGGUCACUCUUUUGGAGACAUCCAAAAAGAUUAUCCCUGAAAAGCUGCACAGCCUCUUCAAGACCUGGAGUGGAGGAUUUCUGUCUGGAGGAAUGAUAAGAGAAGAAGUCCAAAAACUCAAUCAUCUAGGCUUCCUUGCAGCACUUUAACCACAAAACCAUAUUCCCUCCACCGAUAUGGUAUUUUCCUUUUACUAUUUGCUAUUCCUGGAACAUGCUUUCCUACCCACCUAGUUCGCAUUCAGUGCUCAGCUUAAGUACUAAGUCCUCAUGAAAACUUUCCCCAGGCAUCCCACCUGCACUACCCUGUGCCGUUUUCUAACCCCUUUCUCAUUUUUCUUUGCAUUUUGAGUUAGUCAAGAUUAAUAUCACAUGGAAGUGAGUAACAGAAUUCCCCUCCCAUGUUAAAAAAAUGAACAAUAAAAAAGUGGAAGUUUUUCCUUAGUCUAGAGGUAAGGAAUGUAUGGCAGGUGUAACUGACCCGCUUAUCAGGAGCUUUGCCUUCUUUUUGCUCCAUUCCUAAAAUGCAGACCUUUGAGGCCUAGUUCACUGUUCUGUGUCCAGGUAGCAGGCUUGUGGUUCAGACAGCAGGAAGAAGAAGAAGGCAUGGCCCAUGCCUUUCUUUCAGAAGAUGUCUUCUUACUGUUCACACCUCUCCUGUUUAUAUCCGUUGGGCAAAGGUUAGUCAUAUAGCCAUACAUAGCAUUAAAGAGAAAUCUACUAAAAUAUAAGAUAAUGUUUUCUGGGUUACAGCUCUCAGUUUUUGUCCCAAGAAUAUGACAACAUGAUUUUUUCUGCUCCUCACUAAUUAUUGAUUUAUCUAAUACAUAUUUUUUAACUAAAGUAUGAACUCCAGAAGAGUUUGGGCUUUGUCUGUAUCAGCACUUAGAACCAUAUCUAGGAGCUGGAGAUGUAGUUUGGUUGGUAGAGUGCUAUCCUGCCCUACCCAAAGCCCUGGGUUCCAUCCCUAGUACCACAUAAAUGGGGCAUCAUGGCCCAUGCCUGUAAUUCUAGGAUUCCAAAGUGGAAGUAGAAGGAUGAGGGUCAGGAUUUCAAGGUCAUCCUCAGCUACAAAGAGAGCUGGAGGUCAGCCUGGGCUAUAUGAGACCCUGUCUAAAAAAUAACAUCCACCACCACAACAACAAAAAAAGUGUAUCUGGUAUGUAAGUACCUAAUGUCAAUGGAGUGAAUGAGGGGUCUGAAAAUUCACUGUAGAAUGCAUCAAAGUUUCGGCAUGAAUUUAGAGUUCCCUGGUUAUAAACACUUGGAAGGAAAUGAGAUUGUAGUAAAUGAACAGUCAUUUGAAUAUAAGAUGGUGUCUAUUUAUGGGAGAAGUUAUACUUUAGAGACUGAAAGAGGCUGGUGGUAUAGCUCAGUGAUACAGUGAUUGUAAAGGCUGUGUGGGACACUGGGCUUAACUCCAGCCCCACAUGUAAAUAAAAGUUAAAUAAAAGUUGUAUGUACAACAGAAAAUGUUGGACACCAAUAGAUAUUUGAAUAGGUUUGUAUACCUAGUCAUAGUACUGAAAUUUAACACUGUAGGUUUACAUUCAUCUAUUGCAAUUGCCUAUAAGCAAAUAUUUGCCUUGAAAUUAUGAA